GCAAACUUGGUCAUUUAGAGGAAGUAAAAGUCGUAACAAGGUUUCCGUAGGUGAACCUGCGGAAGGAUCAUUAACGAUGUGCAAUCCCUACCCACCUUGUGUGCAAACCCGAGAAAAAGCCUACUUUGGAAAGAUCGUGGUAAUUCUCUGAUCUUUCCAAAGAGGUCAUCACAACCAACCGAUUUUUUCUUUUCUUUUACUAUCUAAAAUACGAAUCGAAACAAUAAACAACUUUCAACAACGGAUCUCUUGGCUCUCGCAUCGAUGAAGAACGCAGC
rnacentral:misc_RNA from 1 species